CUUGAAUUUGUUGUCAUACUUUAUAGUAUAUAACUUUUUUCUGUGGAUGUUUCGAUUAAUUUUCGGAUGCAUGCUGUAAAUGGGCCUUGUGGUGAAGUUUUGAAGACGUUUAUUAUUCAUAAAAAUAAAUAGUUUGCUUUAAUUCCCUCUGUUAUAUGCAUUGUUUGUGUGUUAAUAUUACCUUGUAGUUUAGUUAUUUUAAUCCCAUUUGUCAUCAUUGAGAUAAUUGUGUGUGGCUUCAUCUCUUGUAGAGACAUAUAAGGAUUCAGAGAGUUGACACAUUACCUGAGCUGCAGCAGUGCAACAAGUGUUACAGCAAUUACCAGCAAUUUUCUGCUUGACCAGCAUGUUUAAGCCAGCCAAACUGGUCAAAUUAAUAAGUCAUCUUCAAAUCCACUUCAACAUGCAGUUGUCUGUGGAGUACAUCUUGUCUUGGGAGCACCCUUUGAUUUUACAUCUUGUGACAUUCCAAUCAUAAGGAGAAGGUGGACUCCAGAUGGUUUUCUCUGAAAGUGCAGAAACCCUACAAGAGGCCCUUCCAAUUGGAUAACAGGCUACGCUUGUGAGACAUCUGCUCAGGGGGGCAGUGGAAGAGCCUCUUUUCCUUAUAAUGGAGGAAGAGGACAAGGAAAAGGCCCUCAACAAUCUCCUGGAACAGAAGUUUCCAGAGUGCCCUUCAUAUUUCAUCUUGUGUUCAGGGGAGUUAUUUUUGUAGGAUUGUCAUAACAAAAUGGGCCUAAGAGUGAAUUGUUCAUUUGAUACAUUUUAAUUUGAAUUCAUGCAAGAUUGUCACGACAAAAUGUGCCCAAGAGUGAAUUGUU